AAUGGGCGCAAGCCUGAUCCAGCCAUGCCGCGUGAGUGAUGACGGCCCUAGGGUUGUAAAGCUCUUUUACCCGGGAAGAUAAUGACGGUACCGGGAGAAUAAGCCCCGGCUAACUUCGUGCCAGCAGCCGCGGUAAUACGAAGGGGGCUAGCGUUGUUCGGAAUCACUGGGCGUAAAGCGCACGUAGGCGGAUCUUUAAGUCAGGGGUGAAAUCCCGGGGCUCAACCCCGGAACUGCCUUUGAUACUGGAGAUCUCGAGUUCGGGAGAGGUGAGUGGAACUGCGAGUGUAGAGGUGAAAUUCGUAGAUAUUCGCAAGAACACCAGUGGCGAAGGCGGCUCACUGGCCCGAUACUGACGCUGAGGUGCGAAAGCGUGGGGAGCAAA
rnacentral:rRNA from 1 species